UCACUUUUGGAUGGACCCGCGGCGUAUUAACUUGUUGGUGGGGUAACGGCCUACCAAGGUAAUGAUACGUAGCCGAACUGAGAGGUUGAUCGGCCACAUUGGGACUGAGACACGGCCCAAACUCCUACGGGAGGCAGCAGUAGGGAAUCUUCCACAAUGGGCGCAAGCCUGAUGGAGCAACGCCGCGUGAGUGAAGAAGGUCUUCGGAUCGUAAAACUCUGUUGUUAGAGAAGAACAUGCGAGAGAGUAACUGUUCUUGUAUUGACGGUAUCUAACCAGAAAGCCACGGCUAACUACGUGCCAGCAGCCGCGGUAAUACGUAGGUGGCAAGCGUUGUCCGGAUUUAUUGGGCGUAAAGGGAACGCAGGCGGUCCUUUAAGUCUGAU
rnacentral:rRNA from 1 species